rnacentral:lncRNA from 1 species
GGGUUAAGGCGCACAUUCGCCACACAACAAUCGAAGACAGCCCUCUGGUUGGAGUAAGUGGUUUUGGCCAUCUAGUUCUUGUUCUUUGGGCUGGAAGAACUAUUGGAUGUGCUACAGGGAUGAUUUAUGAUUUGAACUCUCUCUUUCUGAUGGUUUAGUGGAGAAAAUGUAAAAGUUCUGAGUAGCGCUACCCAGGAGUUUUGUUUUCCUUGGGUUUUAAGUUGAGGUGUUAGUGAAGGGUGUUCUAUUUUCAGAUGUGCUUCGGCUCAAAGAUGUGUGGUGUUUGGAGAAUGCACGGAGAUCAUCCCUGCAAUUACAGCGAUCCUCCAUGUAGGUAUAUAUGGCUUAUGGAAAGGGAGUGUUUAUGGAUAACCACUCUAUGAUGAACAUAAAAUGACAAGCAUAUGACUGAGUUAUAAGUGAUGUCAUUUUAAUCCUGAGGAGUGGGUCAGGGGUUUAGAGUAGUUUUGAAGGUAAUUCUUACAGGUACAAAUAAAUUUUUUUUUUUAAUCAGAGAUCGAACCCAGGGGCACUUAACCAGUCCCAUUUUUGUCUCCACAUCUCAUGACCUAUCCUGAGGAAUUUGAUUAUCUCCAAGAGUGAAUGCAGGUAAUUCUUCAAAUGGGAUCUCUGAUUAUUUUAUCGCAAUUGUUCUCCACAAAAAGGAGGGCAGAUGGUCAAUGGAGCUGUGUUGCCUUUUUGCUCCAUCCACCUUAUCCAUCUUGUUCCUCUUGGAGCAAUUUUCUGGGGGAGGGAAGACAGCAACCAAUAGUCAAUUGAUUCUUGUAAUGAUGUGCUCUUCUCUCAUCCGUGUAUCAACUGUCAGAUGAUUUGAAUCAGUAUGCUGAUGAUCUGUGAGGUACAAUGGUAAAUAGCAUGUUAGAGUUCUGAUGGCAGUUGUUGAUAAUGAAAAAAAAUGUCCAUCCUAAUACUUUGAAAUAACCACAUGUUCCUCUUUCCCAGGGUUUCCUGAUAACGACAAAUUUUUCCAUUUUAUGGUAAGUUGCUUCUACUAAUAGCUAUUGUAAAUUAUGUAAAUAAGAGCAUAUUACUGGGCUGGGGAUGUGGCUCAAGCGGUAGCACACUCACCUGGCAUGCGUGCGGCCCGGUUCAAUCCUCAGCACCACAUACAAAGAAAGAUGUUGUGUCUGCCAAAAACUAAAAUAAAUAUUUUUUUAAAAAGAGCAUGUUAUCAUUUGUAGGGUGGCUUUACCAUCAUGGUAUUGGUUAAAGACUAUAGUGCCAGUAAGAACAAACAUCUUGUCUUAACUCCCUGCUCUAGCCCCAGAACGAGUAAUGGUGAACCCACUGGUGUAGCUGGGAGAGAGGAAGGAAACUUGGUUCCAUGAGGAACUACAUGAGGUCCAGCAAAUGGCAAUAAAUAGCCUUUGCUUUGCUUGUCAUUAAUAGUAGCUGGAUAUUUUGAGUACUUUGCUAAUUUAGUGUGUUUUUCUGAUUCAUUCAGGAGCAACUCAUUUCCAUAUACUGAUGAAAAUACUCCAGCAUUAGCAGGUUAGUAGGAUUUUUUCCCUAAUUCAUGGCUUAUGCCACCAAGUUUCUAUGAUGACCCAAACUAGCUCACUAUGAUUGACAAUGAAAAUAUAUGAACACCUGAGAAACUGAAGGAUAGAGAAGUGGGGCAAUAUCCUGAUAUGCCACAUAUACAUAGUAUUUUACCUGUUUUUAAAUUUUUCAGGUGCUGUUACCAAUGUCUACUUACUGGUUCAAAGGUGAGUAAUUUCAGUAUGUGUUAAGUAUAUAUAGCAUAUUGGGUAGGAAAAAGUGCCUUUUAGGCAAAUAUACAUGAUGACUUAUGGAAUCUCGUUCGGCUGAUGUUUUGCUGUUGAGACUCGGAAAUCUGAUUUCCUAGAAAUAAUAGGUGGGGAUAACUGAGGCAGGACAUAAGCAUUACUCAUUUGAUCUUGUUUGUUUCAGGUCUAGCAUCUUGUCUGGAUUCCAAGAAUGAUUUGAGGUACAUACCUUUGCAAUAUUUAUGCCUAUCAUGUAGCAUCAACUUUAUGGUCUGUGGUGGUACUUUGGUCUGAGUAGCCAUAUUUGGAUCACCAGUGGUGAAUUCCUGCUCACCAGUGAUGAGUUGAAUACCGCCCCAGUCUGAUCAUUGUGACAGAAAGGUACACUCUGAGUUGUGAGCUCAUCUUAACAGUAAGCAAUAAGAAGAUGGAUAGGCUUUAUAGCCAAUAACUUUCUAGGACUAGGUUUCUAUGAAGUGUGCUUUUCCUUUAAGCAAUAAAGAGAUGACUUAAUUCCUAAUCUCUUUCCAUUACAGAGAAAGCAAGUCAUAUCUGCCUAACUUCAACCUGAAGUUAAAGGUGAGUGGACUAAGGUGAAGGUAAAGUACAGUAAGCUAAAAAUUUCCCAAUGAAGAAGCAUUUCACACGUCUUACUUCCUGUCCUAGUCCCAGAGCCUGUAAAGGUGAACCCACUGGGGCUGGCUGGGG